GGGGCUGUAGUUCAAUGGACAGAACAAGCACCUCCUAAGUGCUAAAUAACGGUUCGACUCCGUUCAGUCCUG
rfam:Geminocystis sp. NIES-3709 DNA, complete genome.